rnacentral:rRNA from 1 species
AUUGAACGCUGGCGGCAGGCCUAACACAUGCAAGUCGAGCGGAUGAAGGGAGCUUGCUCCUGGAUUCAGCGGCGGACGGGUGGGUAAUGCCUAGGAAUCUGCCUGGUAGUGGGGGAUAACGUCCGGAAACGGGCGCUAAUACCGCAUACGUCCUGAGGGAGAAAGUGGGGGAUCUUCGGACCUCACGCUAUCAGAUGAGCCUAGGUCGGAUUAGCUAGUUGGUGGGGUAAAGGCCUACCAAGGCGACGAUCCGUAACUGGUCUGAGAGGAUGAUCAGUCACACUGGAACUGAGACACGGUCCAGACUCCUACGGGAGGAAGCAGUGGGGAAUAUUGGACAAUGGGCGAAAGCCUGGUCCAGCCAGGCCGCGUGUGUGAAGAAGGUCUUCGGAUUUUAAAGCACUUUAAGUUGGGAGGAAGGGCAGUAGGUUAAUACCUUGCUGUUUUGACGUUACCAACAGAAUAAGCACCGGCUAACUUCGUG